GCCGCAAUGAGCAUUCAUCACAGUUUAUCUAAACUACAAGUGGCCCACGAGAGGGAGCAUCAUCAACUGUGUUCCAUGAUUCAUCAACCAAAAGAGACCCUAAACCAUAGCAAAAAAGAGAGAGAAGAAAUCAAUUACAACAAUGACACCAAAAGCUCUGAUCCGCAGGAAAUAAGUUCCUGAACCAGAUAUCUGUCUAAAGGCCUUAUAAAUCAUAAAACUAAACUCCCAAGCCAUUGCAUACUAAAAUCAGGUAUAGAAGUUAAUUCACUAUACAAGCUAAACAGAAUCAAGUGCAACAAUGAUACCAAAGGCUCAGGUUUGCAGGAAAUAGGUUCCCAACCCCAGAUCUCUAUAUAAAGGUCCUGCAAUAUCAUCAUAAAUCAUAAUACUAAAUUACCAAGGGCAUUUCAUACAAAAAUCAGGUAUAUAAGUCAAUUCAAAUAAUUAAAAAUGAACUCAUCAUGUAAGACAGUAAAACUAAAUGCCAACACCAAACCCAACGAAUUAACUUUAUGCCUGGAACAUUUUUGAAAAUUGUGCGCACUACAGAUGCACUCUGGCCACAAUACAAUCAAAAAUUCUUCCUCCUCCCACAGGUUGGAAAAAAUGUCAACAACCAGCAAGUUGCUCUGUUUGAGCUUUUUUCUCUCUCCCCUUUCACCACUACUUUUGAUCUGCCAUACAUAUUUUAA
rnacentral:lncRNA from 1 species